UACGUAGGAUGCAAGCGUUGUCCGGAAUUAUUGGGCGUAAAGAGCGCGCAGGCGGUCUAUCAAGUCAGAUGUGAAAAUAUCCAGGCUUAACCUGGAGGGGUCAUUUGAAACUGGUAGACUAGAGUACAGCAGAGGAUAGUGGAAUUCCCGGUGUAGUGGUGAAAUGCGUAGAUAUCGGGGAGGAACACCGGUGGCGAAGGCGGCCUGCUGGGCAGUUGCUGACACUGAGGCGCGACAGCGUGGGGAGCAAACAGG
rnacentral:rRNA from 1 species